rnacentral:lncRNA from 15 species
AUGCCUGUGAGGAGAACUCUGCACAUGGACAAUGGUCAUCAACAUCCAGUUUCCAAAAUACCAGUACCCGCAAGAAACCAUGCACCUUCAACAGGGACUGCAAGUUCUCAGGCAGGUAAGACCAACGUCACAACACGUGAACAAGAGGUCCCACAGACGGAGUUGGAAAAACUGGAUUCCACGCGAUCUAAACUGGAACAAUCAGUGGAUGCAUUCAUCAAGGCCAGGAAAGAGCUGGAGGAAAUAUUCUCAGCAGAGGGCAGCAGUGAACAAGGACGCUUCCUCACUGGAUCUUCUGCUGACCUGAAGACUGAGCUAAAGAGACACAGAGAGCUGACAUUCAGAGUAGAGUCAUCUUUGAAAGAAAAUAAAGACCCCAAGCAUCACAGUCAAGGAACUGUGAAGCUGGGUAGCUCCUACGAGUUUCUGAAGUCCAUUAUGGAUUGAGGUUUUUGUUAGCGAGGCAUCUCGGCUGUUGACAGCUAAUGGAAUUGCUCUUCACCUCCUGUGCGUAUGAUCCCUCGGAGAUAAAGCAGGAGAUGAAUGUGGAAUCUACUGUCAGUCGUGAGGCGGAGAUGUCUUGGAGGCCGUCAUUCAUUUGCAGGAGAAGCGUCUGAAAUGGUGGGAGCGAAUCCUCUGACGUAUUAGACCCUGUCUACCCGCCGGAGCCUCUGCCUGGCACCUGACAAAUGUUGAUUCUACAUUAACCACAAUGCUGCAACACUGUGCAAAUAAUGUUCUUUCAGAUGGCAACCCUCAUCCCCUUUAUGGCUAAAACUAUGCAAUCCUCCCCACCUGUGCAGUUUAACACCUUUUUGAAAAGUAAAGGUGGGGGGGCAAACUGACUUGCACAACACAGUAGUCUCUUUAUUUGGUAGUGCCUGGGAAGGCCGAGGCCUCUCACUGCCCGAGUCGACCUAAGCAACAGCUGGUGUUCACAGCAACAUUUCCUAUUUCUGCCUAAGGUGGAUCGUGUAACUCUCACUUUAUCACCCUUAGAGGCCACGUGAAGGACAAAGCCAGCACGCCCAUAAACAAAACUAAUGUUUUGAUACAAGCCCCUUUGGAGAUUGAUGGAAGGAUCCGUGGUACUUUUAAUGCCCCUUUACCACCCAUGACACAUCAAAUAAUCUUUUGCCUACACCAAUGGUUUUCACUUUAGGUCAGGAUCUAAAACUAUUAGUUAUUCUACUUACUUCUUGUAAUGUGUAUUUAUAAUCUAGGGGUCCCUUAGGGGGGGUGUUCUUCAUCUCCUAUUAACACAGAGUUUUUGCUAGGAGGGCUCAGUAUCUACUUAUUGUGCCUGCCACUGUUCUAAGGUUUAGAGCCACAGAGACUGGGGAUAUGCAUCCUGGGUAACUUGUCAGGGACUAGGUGGUGACAGAAGACUUAUCUUCACUGUGGCUUUGAAAAAGGCUUCUUUGGUGUGUAAUUAUUUAACUUCUUUUAAACACCAGAAGCACAUGAACUGGAUUUUUUUUAUCAUACAGUUUUAGUAACGUAAUCUGUCUCGAAAAAGUUACAACAGAGCAGUGUAAACACAGAUGCAGACAAUGCGGCUUGCUUCAGUGAUUAUUAUAUUAUAUUGUUUGUUUCAUACCUUGUUUGUCUGGUUUAUAUAUAACCUGUAUAUCAAUAUACACAUAUUAUAUACUACAUAUACUACAACUAAUGCUUAUUUCCUUAGCAAUUUAUCUUUUGCUUAUUUUAUUACUCUAUUAAAUGUAAUAAAAUUGUGAAAAUGUACAAGUUUUAAGAUUCCAAAGUAGUGUCUUCAAAUAUCUAUUUUUAUCCAACCAACAGACAAAACCCACAAAAUACUGACAUUACAAUGAUAAAUAAUUCACAUAGAAGCACAAAAUCCUCACAUCUGAGAAGCUUGAACCCAAUGAACUUUGAGAUUUAAGCUUGAUAAAUUAGCAUAAAUAGAUGAUCAAAAGUGUAGUUUAUUAAUUUCCUGCAGCAUUUGAUCCUAUCACAGGAUCUUCCACAGCGGGCGGAGAAGUUGUCUCUUUAUCUAAAGUUGUCUCUAUCUUUUUAUGGCUGAUUAAUUUGAAUAAAGCAGACCAGAAAUAAUAGUUUUGUAUGUGUUGAUUUUUAAUAUUUUGCUCCAACUGUGUUAGUUGUUUACCUUGUAAUAUAACACUAAUUUCCUAAUAAUAUUAAUUUACCCUCCCAUUUCAGGCACAGGGAGGUGAAUUAAAUUUUUUCCUCACAUCUUUCUAAAUGAAUUAGCAAGGCUUUAUAUAAACAUGUGUAAUAAAAGGGCAAAUCAGCACCUUUUAUACCACCUCUAAUUGUCCCCUUGUGUUCAUGUUCCAUUGUAGUAACAGUUAACUCAGAUCUUGGGCUCCUAUUUGUCCCUGUGGCCCAGUAUUGGCUAGCGGCCUGGAGCCUCAGAUGCACAGGCAACCCUCACUGACCUGAUAACAUUUAUAGUUGUAAUGGAUUUUUUUAUGCCCGUCAUUAACUCGCUCAGAGAUUGGAGAAAGAAAUUGCUUGUACCUUUUUCUGUGGUAUUUCAACUUUAUAGCAUUAUGUUCAGAUAUGUCACCUUCCAUCAUCUCUUUUUAAGGCCUGUCCUGUCACUGAUUUUGUUUUAAAUGAACAGGUCUUUUGUGCAGGACCCUUGUAGUAUCUAGGACUUGUAAUGAAUAUUUAAUGAUGUUGAGUAAAAGCUUUGAAAGAUAUAAUUUCUGUCCAAUUAUUGGCUCUGUCUCUGCCAGACUGUUAGGGGUGAUUUAGCGGACUACUUGGUAAAUGUAGACAGUUUAUAUGAAGCUGCUCAAAAUCUAAUGAUUUAACAAUGUGGCAAUAAAACCAAUGUUCACUUUAGGUCACUGAGAAAUUUUUAUUUAUUUUCACAAAAACUAAGUUUGUACAAAAUAACUUCAAGAAUGGAUAAAAAUAUACAGUAGAAAACCGUAAAAAAAAAAAAGCUCACAUGAAUAGAUAAUGACAACCAUUACUGCUAACCCUGAGUCCAGUCGCAUCAGGUAUGCAUUUUAAUCACAAUCCCUAGGAGGGGUACUGAGGGUGGACAAAACAACAGGAACACCUCACAACAUCCUUAAGGCUACCACCACCACCACCACCUAUAGCUUUAAACGUUACCACACAAUUAAAUCAAUACCUUCCCCAACGGUCUAAACAAUAACCGAACAUUGAAACAGGUGUUCCUAUUAUUGUGGCCACCUCCUGCAGCUUGAGCAUACUGACACAGAGCUAUCUAAAGUCAA